rnacentral:misc_RNA from 1 species
CGCCUUCUGAUUAAUAUUCAUACACGCACAGAGAGGUCUCUGCAGAGAUACGGGUCACUUUCCCUGUCCUCGCCUCCCCCUCACCGCACAACGCCUCUGUGUUGUGCCGAAGCUGCAGCACAUGCAUCUCCCUCUGUUUUCUUGCUUACCCCAACACCUAUACACUCACUCACGCACACCAGCGUAUCCCUUGGCUGUCGCGGUGGCGUACUUAUGUGUAUGGUAUCGCCACGCUUGUCUACUUGUCUCUUCUUUUCCCGUGUUUUCACUCUUGAUAUUCAAUGCAGCGAGGCCAGGAAAGGCGACUUCAGUGCCGCGAUGCGGUGCUGUGGACCGCGAGGGCCUCAGUGGUGGUCCUGCUAUGCGCACUACUCGGCGGCUGCGGCCUCGCAGGUGUUGCGGCCGAACAAAAGCCGUUGGUGCUGCAUGCAAGCCUCGUAGACCUCCUCAACGCGGAGAACGCGCUGUGGACGGUGUCGCUCGGCACUCCCAACGCUGCGAGCCCAUCAGUCGUGUGGACAGCGAUGCACGAGGUGCGCGUGGAGACGCAGCCCUCCCAGUCGGCCGCUUCGCUUCUCUUCAUGCUGCCGCCGCCGACCAGCUUGAGGCACCGCGCCGAGGACGCGGAGGAAGAAAAAUACGACGAAGACGGUGCGGCGACGGGGAAGCAAAGCGCGGCGCCCGGCGACGAUGCCUUUGCACAGACGCAACGCCGGAAGCCCUUUGGCCACCUCGCGCGGUCCUUCCACGGAGUCUCUUGUGAGGAAUACCGGACGGGCGGGCGAGGGCAGCAGGGCACCGUGCAAGGCCGGUGCUUCUUCCUGCGGGACGACGGCGAGGACUUCUUUGUGCGCUACGAGGUACAAGGCGCCGGCAACGGGGAAUCAAAGAGUGACAGCGAGGAGGCAGCUGCCGCCAAGACCGCCACAGCAGUGCGCCGCCGCAGCCGCCGAGGCCGUGCUUCGGCGAAGGCUGUCGCUUCACCGAAGGCAACGGCGAGCAGCAGCUCAGAGGCGUCGGGGGCGGAGCCGCGGAUCGUGCGCAGCGCCUCCGCCAGUGGCGUGUGGACAGAACACAUCCUUCUGGGCGAUAGCGCUGCCGCGGGUGCGAAGGAGACGAGCGCUGGCGCGGCAGAGGAACACGUCCGUGUCGGAGACGUGACCAUUGAUGAGUACAUCCGUGAGAUGGCAGAUGCGCGCCGCUCCAAGCAGGUGGUGCUGAAGCUCGCUAUAGCGGUGCCCCGAAAGGCCGGCGCCUCGGCGGAUGGAGGCCAAGACGACCUAAUGCAUGUGCGGCUGGAGUGCAUCACCGACGCUUUUUAUGAGGCCAUGGUGGAGCGUAGCACCGGCGUGGUGAAGGCAGCUCGCACGAGCUUCUUCUAUCGCUGGGUGUGGCCGGUGCUGUUCGUCACUGCCAUCUACGCGAUGCUGGCGGCGACGGCCCGGCUGGUUGCCUGGCGCAAGGCGUCGCAGGGGAGUGUGGCCUCGGCUACUGCUGGCGCGACGAAGAAGAAGCAGCAGUGAUGGGCGGCUGCACAGGCAGCGCAGACCACAUAUGGCGCUGCUAACCUUCUCUCUCUCUCAUGUGCUGUGUGAAGGACGAUGUUGAUGAUUGAGAAUGAGAAUGCAAGCAAGCAAGCAGAUGGAGCGGGAGGUCAGUGAAGCGGUCGGGGAUGGAUAGGGUUGUUUGAAGAGGGCUGGGAAAGGGGAGGUGUUGCAAGACCAAGCAAGAGCAAGGCACCGGGUGUAUGUGUAGGUCUACGAUCAGGGCUGACGUUCGCAGUGCUCAUCAGCCCUUGUCCUCCGUUAAGCAUGCCUCCUCGUCGUUGCGGUGGGCCUCUCUGGGCGGCGCACACAGACACAGACACGCACGGCUCAGUCAAGAAUGGCACCCUUGCGUCCAUGCACGGUGUCCUCGUACGGGUGCUCUCCAUGGCUGCGCUCACCCCACGCCCACGCCCCCCUCAUACCCGCUAUCCGCCUUGUUUGCUGCGUGCGACCCAAGAUGCUGACGCGGGUGCUGCUUGAAACGCCUGUAUGUGUGUGGGCGGGUGUGGGACUGUGGCUGAAAAGAAUGUAACGUCUUCCCCACCUUUUCUUGUUUCCGCGCGCCGUGGCGACCGAAGAGCUACCGCGCCCGUGAAAGCGCAUACCGGCUCCUCGACU